rnacentral:rRNA from 1 species
GACGUAGGGCGCGAGCGUUGUCCGGAUUUAUUGGGCGUAAAGAGCUCGUAGGCGGCUUGUCGCGUCGAAUGUGAAAUCCUGCGGCUCAACUGCAGGCUUGCAUUCGAUACGGGGCAUCACUGGAGUUCGGCAGGGGAGACUGGAAUUCCUGGAUGUAGCGGUGAAAUGCGGCAGAUAUCAGGAGGAACACCGGUGGCGAAGGCGGGUCUCUGGGCCGAUACUGACGUGAGGAGCGAAAGCCGUGGGGAGCAAACAGGA